rnacentral:lncRNA from 1 species
CGCGUCGCCGCCGUUUGAUCCGAUUUGCGCGCAAUUUGGUGAGUAAUUUCACUAAUCCAGGAUUAGUGGCUAAUUAUGCUUAAGGUUGGUUUAGAUUUAAUUAAUUAUGUUUAGGUUGAUAGAUUAGAUUAAAUUAGCAAUUAUUAGUCAAUUGUGAUGCGAAUUAGAUAAAUUGAAUGCGUAAUUAGCAAGUAGACAUGGUCUACUAAUUAUUGGAAGUGUCUCGGGAUUUUUCCCGACCCUUAGUGGGCUUCAAUUAGGCUUUUCGGGCCUAAGUGGAUUUUUUAGUAUUUAAAUAUUAAUUUUCGGAAUUAAAUUAAAUAAUUAUUUAUUUUCCGAAAAUUCAACCGAGAUUGCCUGGAACCUGAAAAUUAUGCUGAUGAGCGUGGUGAAGUCCGUUUAUUUAAUCGGGCUUUAUUUUGAGCUAAAUUGAAUUUUUAGUAAUUAAUAAUUAAUUUUCGAAAUUAAUUAAUUAAUUAAUUAUUUUUCGAAAAUUAAGAUUUUGAUGGCCGACGACCGAAAUCUCGUGCUGAUCAUCGUGGCGUAGUUCGUUUAUUUAUUUGAGCUCUACGUUGUAUGGAAUUGAAUAAAUUGUGAUAUUUUAGGUAUUUACCCUAAAUUGAUUUGGAAUUGAUUGAGAUUGAAUAAUUGAUUGGUAGAUGGCCGAGUAUGUUUGUUUAGCAUUUAUAAUGCUUUGAUUGAGUUGUAAAGUGGAUGGAAUUAUGAGAGAAUUGGAAAUACUCUGGGAUUGAACUAAUCAGACACAGUGUAUAGACCUACGUGGUUCGGUGAUUGGGAUAUCACUGGCGAAAACGGCGCCUUAAAGAACGCACGUAUCGGUCUAGUACUCGUAUUGUUAUAGACAUGUAUGAUCGGUGACUAAGGACAUCACUGGCGAAAACGGCGCCUUAAAGAACGCAUACACUUGUCUAUUAAAUACAUUGUAUAGGCAUGUGUGGUUCGGUGAUUUGGGAUAUCACUAGCGAAAACGACGCCUUAAAGAAUGCACACAAUUGUCUAUUUGAGUACAUGGUUAUAGGCAUGUGUGGUUCGGUGACUAAGGAUGUCACUGGCGAAAACGGCGCCUUAAAGAAUGCAUGCAAUUGUUUAGUGGAUAAAUCAGAUUGGUGAGCUUGGCGUCUGAGAGUAUUGACCUAGAAUGGUCCGUCUAACAUGUAAUCGACUAGAUCGAUUGAUCGUCGCUUUGAUUUGAUGUUGUGAAUUGAUUGACUGAAUGGAAAUGACCGUGAGUGGUCUUGUUGGCAUAUAAUCGACUAUGUCGAUUUGUUUGAUGCUUCUAUCGGUGAUACGACUGUUUGGGUGCCUACUAUGAAUUGUACUGACUUGCAGGUAGGAUCUGAGGCCCUGUGCGUGUUUAGGCAGCCUGUAGUAUAAUGGUUUACUAAUCGAGCUUAGUGGGGUAGAACUUGCUGAGACGUAGUCUCAUCCCAGUUUGGGGAAAACCAUUUCAGGACUCCGCUAAGGAGCUGAGGAGGAAGAGUUGGAGAAGGAUUUUUAGGAGAAGAAGACAAUCUCGAGAGGGGCCGUGAGUACGGCCUAGAUGGACUGAAAUUUUAUCUUCUUUGAUAUCUCCAUUUUGAUGUAAAUAGAGUUUAGAAUAAAAAGUUGUGAAGUGUUCUGGUUUGUGGUUUGUAUAAAAGUUCGGUUAUAAAUUUCAAUA